GAUGAACGCUGGCGGCGUGCCUAAUACAUGCCAGUCGAGCGAACAGACGAGGAGCUUGCUCCUCUGACGUUAGCGGCGGACGGGUGAGUAACACGUGGAUAACCUACCUAUAAGACUGGGAUAACUUCGGGAAACCGGAGCUAAUACCGGAUAAUAUAUUGAACCGCAUGGUUCAAUAGUGAAAGACGGUUUUGCUGUCACUUAUAGAUGGAUCCGCGCCGCAUUAGCUAGUUGGUAAGGUAACGGCUUACCAAGGCAACGAUGCGUAGCCGACCUGAGAGGGUGAUCGGCCACACUGGAACGGAGACACGGGCCAGACUCCUACGGGGGGCAGCAGUAGGGAAUCUUCCGCAAUGGGCGAAAGCCUGACGGAGCAACGCCGCGUGAGUGAUGAAGGUCUUCGGAUCGUAAAAUUCUGUUAUUAGGGAAGAACAAAUGUGUAAGUAACUAUGCACGUCUUGACGGUACCUAAUCAGAAAGCCACGGCUAACUACGUG
rnacentral:rRNA from 1 species